rnacentral:rRNA from 1 species
GGCGUAGGCGGAUUUUUAAGUGAGAUGUGAAAUACUCGGGCUUAACCUGAGUGCUGCAUUUCAAACUGGAAGUCUAGAGUGCAGGAGAGGAGAAGGGAAUUCCUAGUGUAGCGGUGAAAUGCGUAGAGAUUAGGAAGAACACCAGUGGCGAAGGCGCUUCUCUGGACUGUAACUGACGCUGAGGCUCGAAAGCGUGGGAGCAAACA